rnacentral:rRNA from 1 species
GGACUACACGGGUAUCUAAUCCUGUUUGCUCCCCACGCUUUCGCGCCUCAGCGUCAGUAUCGGUCCAGAGAGCCGCCUUCGCCACCGGUGUUCUUCCCAAUAUCUACGAAUUUCACCUCUACACUGGGAAUUCCACUCUCCUCUCCCGAACUCAAGCAAUCGAGUAUCAAGCGCUAUUCCCAGGUUGAGCCCGGGGCUUUCACGCCUGACUUCAAUCGCCGCCUACGCGCCCUUUACGCCCAGUAAUUCCGAACAACGCUAGCCCCCUUCGUAUUACCGCGGCGGCUGGCAC